rnacentral:rRNA from 1 species
CGGGAAAAGCUCAAAUUUAAAAUCUGGCGGUUCUGCCGUCCGAGUUGUAAUUUAGAGAAGCGUUAUCCGUGCUGGACCAUGUACAAGUCUCUUGGAACAGAGCGUCAUAGAGGGUGAGAAUCCCGUCCUUGACAUGGACUCCCAGUACUUUGUGUUGUGCUCUCAAC